rnacentral:rRNA from 1 species
AGAGUUUGAUCAUGGCUCAGGAUGAACGCUGGCGGCGUGCUUAACACAUGCAAGUCGAACGAACCUUCGGGUUAGUGGCGGACGGGUGAGUAACGCGUGGGAAUCUGCCCUCAGGAGGGGGAUAACGGCUGGAAACGGCCGCUAAUACCCCAUAUGCCGAGAGGUGAAAUGAAUUUCGCCUGAGGAUGAGCCCGCGUCUGAUUAGCUAGUUGGUGAGGUAAGAGCUCACCAAGGCAUCGAUCAGUAGCUGGUCUGAGAGGAUGAUCAGCCACACUGGGACUGAGACACGGCCCAGACUCCUACGGGAGGCAGCAGUGGGGAAUUUUCCGCAAUGGGCGAAAGCCUGACGGAGCAACGCCGCGUGAGGGAUGAAGGCCUCUGGGCUGUAAACCUCUUUUCUCAAGGAAGAAGAUCUGACGGUACUUGAGGAAUAAGCCACGGCUAAUUCCGUGCCAGCAGCCGCGGUAAUACGGGAGUGGCAAGCGUUAUCCGGAAUUAUUGGGCGUAAAGCGUCCGCAGGCGGCCCUUCAAGUCUGCUGUUAAAAAGUGGAGCUUAACUCCAUCAUGGCAGUGGAAACUGUUGGGCUUGAGUGUGGUAGGGGCAGAGGGAAUUCCCGGUGUAGCGGUGAAAUGCGUAGAUAUCGGGAAGAACACCAGUGGCGAAGGCGCUCUGCUGGGCCAUAACUGACGCUCAUGGACGAAAGCCAGGGGAGCGAAAGGGAUUAGAUACCCCUGUAGUCCUGGCCGUAAACGAUGAACACUAGGUGUCGGGGGAAUCGACCCCCUCGGUGUCGUAGCCAACGCGUUAAGUGUUCCGCCUGGGGAGUACGCACGCAAGUGUGAAACUCAAAGGAAUUGACGGGGGCCCGCACAAGCGGUGGAGUAUGUGGUUUAAUUCGAUGCAACGCGAAGAACCUUACCAGGGUUUGACAUCCUGCGAACCUCUUGGAAACGAGAGGGUGCCUUCGGGAGCGCAGUGACAGGUGGUGCAUGGCUGUCGUCAGCUCGUGUCGUGAGAUGUUGGGUUAAGUCCCGCAACGAGCGCAACCCACGUCUUUAGUUGCCAGCAUUUAGUUGGGCACUCUAGAGAGACCGCCGGUGAUAAACCGGAGGAAGGUGUGGAUGACGUCAAGUCAUCAUGCCCCUUACAUCCUGGGCUACACACGUACUACAAUGCUACGGACAAAGAGCAGCAAGUUCGCGAGGACAAGCAAAUCUCAUAAACCGUGGCUCAGUUCAGAUCGUAGGCUGCAACUCGCCUACGUGAAGGAGGAAUCGCUAGUAAUCGCAGGUCAGCAUACUGCGGUGAAUACGUUCCCGGGCCUUGUACACACCGCCCGUCACACCAUGGAAGUUGGCCACGCCCGAAGCCGUUACUCCAACCCUCGGGAGGAGGACGUCGAAGGUGGGGCUGAUGACUGGGGUGAAGUCGUAACAAGGUAGCCGUA